rnacentral:rRNA from 1 species
CUACGUGCCAGCAGCCGCGGUAAUACGUAGGGCGCGAGCGUUGUCCGGAAUUAUUGGGCGUAAAGAGCUUGUAGGCGGUUUGUCGCGUCUGCUGUGAAAGGCCGGGGCUUAACCCCGUGUAUUGCAGUGGGUACGGGCAGACUAGAGUGCAGUAGGGGAGACUGGAAUUCCUGGUGUAGCGGUGGAAUGCGCAGAUAUCAGGAGGAACACCGAUGGCGAAGGCAGGUCUCUGGGCUGUAACUGACGCUGAGAAGCGAAAGCAUGGGGAGCGAACAGGAUUAGAUACCCUGGUAGUCCAUGCCGUAAACGUUGGGCACUAGGUGUGGGGGACAUUCCACGUUUUCCGCGCCGUAGCUAACGCAUUAAGUGCCCCGCCUGAGGAGUACGGCCGCAAGGCUAAAACUCAAAGAAAUUGACGGGGGCCCGCACAAGCGGCGGAGCAUGCGGAUUAAUUCGAAGCAACGCGAAGAACCUUACCAGGUCUUGACAUCCCUCUGACCGCUCUAGAGAUAGAGUUUUC